AAAACAAUCCAUUCCAUCCAUCAGCCCAGCUAGCACAACAAACUUACACAACUCAAUAAUUUUUAUUUACCAAGCCCAUAAUUUGGCCCAGUUCACAAAUUCCCAAGUUAUUUCAUCCAUUACCAUUUCUAAAAAAAUUCGUCCAUUACAACAAGGAUCCUAGAUGACAUCACUAAAGCCACAUUGGAAACAUUUACAAACAUAUAUAAAAAUAUAAGUUCAUCCAGUAGUACAACAAGUAUGUAUUGGCCUUUUGUGAAGAGCGAGGUGAGCCUCUCCACAAGUUCUUCCCUCACAUCUGCAAGAAUCAAUCUUCCUGCAACAACAAUUAACAAAAACAAUCAAUUAAUUUGUUGAGGAAGGGAAAAAAAUAUCAAGUGCACAAAAUUCUUGUCUGCUUGGGUGGUGCCAAACCGCCAAUGGAAACAAUGUCAAAAUUGCAUAGUUGUAUGUUAUUUUGGGUCUCUAUUUCAUAUGACCUGGAGUAAGUCUCUGAAUAUGUUGCCAUCACAUGGUAAUGCGUACUCAGCUUAAUCAAGCAAUAUACCAUUCGAUUCCCUUCUCAUGAGCUGGUCUAUAAAUAAUCAAACCUGGGUUUAAGGCAUUGGUUUCUGUUAUGUUUGUUUUUUCAACUAUGAGGUAUGAGUAUUAAGUAUUAGGAUAGCAAUACCAUAAAUUAUGCUACUCUAGUGUAGGAGGCGCGUCUUGGCAUGCAUCCGCAGACGACCAACUAAGCUACCGACUCGACUUACUCAAGCUCAAUCAGCCUGGUGGAGUGCCUGAGCCAAGUGUGGAAGCUUGACGUGUGUCCGUGCACAAGCUGUCUGUCGCUAGGCUUAAGGAGCUAUGUAUGUGAAUGUGAUGUAUUUCUAUCUUUUUUUGUCGGCAAGGUGCGCAAUUUUGGACACUCCAAGCAACUCGGUGUCUUUUUAAACUAAAAGACACAACCUGAUAGGAGAAACACUAUUUGGAUGCUCUAGCUCUAUGAAACCUACACUGUAGGACUACUUCAGGAAUAAUCCAAGCAAAUACAAUGAACCAAACCACCAUGGCUGGAAAGAGAGGGGAAAAAAGAAGGGUGCAGAGAGUUAAAAGGUAGCAAAAAAACAAACCUCAACUGGAGGAUUCCAUUUCAGGCAAGUCUGGAAGCACCGGCCCAACCAAUCCCCAUGUUCAUCCUGCAGGAGACCAAAAUACUGCAAAGAGAUGCUAAGGCAUUAACCAAAAUACUGCAACAAAAUCAUCUAAAUAAUUGAACCUGGGCAGGAUGAUUUCUCACCAGCCAAAGGACCAAUCUGGCAAAUAAAAUAUUGAUUGAGAGAAAUUGUAUGCGGCAAGGGAAGCCGCCGCUGACAACAGCAAUACUGUGAUCACAUACUUCCUUGCCAAAUCGCACAUGUGAGGACCAUCGCGUGUGCCGCUGUCAGACAAUCUCCGUACCUAAAGCCCCUUAGUUCCACCUCAGAACUUGUUCUUUAAGUUUUCUAGGAAAAGUUGUUCUCCAGCAAAUUCAGUGUAAUUCAAUACCUACAAACACAAGUAAGCACAUCAGAAAAUAAGAAUACCUGGCACAUUUGUGUGGCAUCCAGAAUUCAGAAUAUAUGGUACAUAUGUGAAUCGCAUGAAGCAUCAAGGGAAAUGGAUUAGAAAGGAAAACAUCAAAGAGGAACACACACCUUAAAAUCGGAUGCAAGCUUCACAUCAUGUCCUAGAAUUAGGAAAGAGAUCUCAUGCUACUGCAUGCUUGCAUCAUAUCCUAGAUAUGCAUAUAGUUUGCUGUCAUGGAAACAAUCAAUACGGAUAAUUGUCCUGAAAGUUUCUUAGCAUUAGAUUAGAUGUGAUAUCAGGUUUAGUCAGAUUUCAAUCAAAGUUGUGUACUGAACCAAACUGAACCAAUAAGUAGUGCACACUAAUAAAUAUUGAACAUCCAGUUUCAGUCAAAGCUGUACAAUUGCAAGUGUCAGACAGAUUUACAUGAAGCUAAUUAUCUCUUACAAAAAAAAAGUUUUGGGAAUCAGUGGCGUUGCAUGGAUGGAUGCACACUACUUGAUGUGUUAACUAUCUAGUGAUGAAGAUGCCUGCAUAUAUGGUCAUACAUGUAUGUAAAAGAAAUGAACACCUUUUACAGCAACAUUCCAUGCUUGGUUACUAACUGAACGUGCAACUUCAUACUUCACUACUGCUCAUCUCUGGAACUGUGCGUGUGUAUCUUUAAAACAUUUUGUGCUUUGUUUUCUCCUACAUUCCAGAAAGUACAGAGAUUGUGCUGGUUCUUGAACCAUACAGAGAUGCCCUAGUUACAAUUGUAUCAAGCAAUUUGCUUGAACCAACAAGUAGUACAUACUAAUGAAAAUCGAACAUCCAAAUGUGAUGCUUCGGUUUCAGUCAAGGUUCAACCAAAUCGACACAUACAAACUGAACCAAGACCUGAUUUGUUUCAUAUAUAGCUGCACAAUUGCAAGUAUCAUCCAGAUCCUGGGUAGGGGGAGAGAGGGGAAGCUCACCACACUAGGAGAGCAGGAGGACACAGUUGUCGGUCCACGCGCUGGAGGAUAGGAGGCCUUGCUGCUCCACCUCCUCUGACCAAAAGAGCUCGUCGGGGAUGGCCGCGUCGAGGAGGACGACGUCCAGCACGCUGCCGGAUAGCUAGAGAAUGGGGUUCAGGGGCAUUGCCUGCGCGUUAACAAACUUUAAGACAACCUCAAAAAUAUCAAAUGCGUCGAGCAUGGCACAUACCCCAGCAGCAUGG
rnacentral:lncRNA from 1 species